rnacentral:rRNA from 1 species
UUUUCCGGUUGAUCCUGCCGGAGGUCACUGCUAUCGGUGUUCGAUUAAGCCAUGCGAGUCGAGAGGUGUUAUGGCCUCGGCGGACUGCUCAGUAACACGUGGAUAACCUACCCAAGAGUCCGGGAUAACCCCGGGAAACUGGGGAUAAUACCGGAUAGAUCAAACAGGCUGGAAGGCGGUUUGGUUGAAACUUCCGGGGCUUUUGGAUGGGUCUGCGGCUGAUUAGGUUGUUGCCGGUGUAACGUACCGUCAAGCCUGUAAUCAGUACGGGUUGUGGGAGCAAGAGCCCGGAGAUGGAUUCUGAGACACGAAUCCAGGCCCUACGGGGCGCAGCAGGCGCGAAAACUCUACAAUGCAGGCAACUGCGAUAGGGGAACAUCGAGUGGCGGCCAUAUUGAUCGUCUGUCCUCCCGCCUAAAAAGCGGGAGUUAGCAAGGGCCGGGCAAGACCGGUGCCAGCCGCCGCGGUAAUACCGGCGGCUCGAGUGGUGGCCGAUAUUAUUGAGUCUAAAGGGUCCGUAGCCGGCUUUGCAAGUCUCUCGGGAAAUCCAGCGGCUUAACCGUUGGUCGUCCGGGGGGUACUACAUUGCUUGGGACUGGGAGAGGUAGGAGGUACUCAGGGGGUAGGAGUGAAAUCCUGUAAUCCUUUGGGGACCACCGGUGGCGAAGGCGUCCUACCAGAACAGGUCCGACGGUGAGGGACGAAAGCUAGGGGCACGAACCGGAUUAGAUACCCGGGUAGUCCUAGCCGUAAACGAUGCUCGCUAGGUGUCACAACAGUCGCGAACUGUUGUGGUGCCGUAGGGAAGCCGUGAAGCGAGCCACUUGGGAAGUACGACCGCAAGGUUGAAACUUAAAGGAAUUGGCGGGGGAGCACCACAAGGGGUGAAGCUUGCGGUUUAAUUGGAGUCAACGCCGGG